rnacentral:tRNA from 1 species
GGCAAGAUAGUCUAAGAUAAAGAGUAAGACAGUAGGGUGUGGUCCUUCAUAUGUGCCAUCAAGGUGCUCUUGCCG